rnacentral:tRNA from 1 species
UAUAUGGCAGAUAAAUGCAUUAGAUUUAGAAUCUAAUAAUAAAAACUAUAAAUUAUU